rnacentral:lncRNA from 1 species
AAAGCACAACAAAGACAAGAGAAUUGGAUGCGCUGGCCGCAUGAUGGCAGGAGGCGUGUCACGGUGGGUCAUAUGAGCGUCAUCAGCGGCUCCAAGGCGGAUACGGACCCGCGAGGACACCGGACAGGAUCACCCUGGACCGGAGCGCUACCCCACCGGGUCACAGCUGCACCCUGCCGUGAUGUUGGCGAAGAAUGUUUCUGUGGAAUGUGUACAGACACCGUCAAGCUGACAGGUGAAGUUACGAUCUUUGAUGAAAUGAGCCAUGUGCUAUUAUCAUGAUGUUUUCUCCACUGUAGUUGUCUCCAAAUCUUUGGUCAAGGAUUUCACUACAGGCUUUCAAAACUAAAAGUGUCC